AGAGCCUCAAGCAAGGGACUUCC
rnacentral:miRNA from 12 species